rnacentral:rRNA from 1 species
GGAUUAGAUACCCUGGUAGUCCACACCGUAAACGAUGGAUGUUAGAUGUUGGGGGUUUACCCUCAGUAUUGUAGCUAACGCGUUAAACAUCCCGCCUGGGGAGUACGGUCGCAAGAUUAAAACUCAAAGGAAUUGACGGGGACCCGCACAAGCGGUGGAGCAUGUGGUUUAAUUCGAUGCUACGCGAAAAACCUUACCAGGACUUGACAUGUAUUGGAACCUUUAGAGAAAUCUAUUGGGUGGAGCAAUCCACUGAUACACAGGUGUUGCAUGGCUGUCGUCAGCUCGUGUUG